AUGUAUUAUUUUAUGAUUUAGGGAUUAUUAAGUUUAAGAAACUAAUGGUUUCUUCGAAUUUAAAGAUUAUUAAUUUAGGAUUUAUUAGGAUUAGUGGUUAAUUUAAAUAUUAGUGUCAGAGUGGAUGUUAUAAAACAUGAUUAGGCAUGCUAACGUAGCAAAGCUGUAACUCUAACAGCUGAAAUUGACAGAAGGAAAGAAUUAAUUUGAUUUUCAUAGGUAAGGAUGAAAUUAUUAAAAAAAAAUAUAUAUGGUAAAAUUGUAAAAAUUGUGAAAGAUUGAAAUUUUUUGAGCUAUUUUCCCUGUUAUUAAUUACCACCUUAGUUUUUUAUUAUGCAAAAUGUGUUAUUAUUUCUUCAUUGUGAAUGACUAUAAAUUAAGUUUCUGCAGUUUGGUAUAUGGAUGGCUACUAAACUGGGAAUGACUUUAUCUUUUUUACUAUAAUAUAGCUACAGAAUACCAAUCACGAGCGGUUGAGCAAGGAGGUGGCUGAAAAGACUCAUCAACUCAGGCAGAUGAGGGGAGAGGAUCUGCAAGGAUUAAACAUGGAGGACUUGCAGCAAUUGGAAAAAAUGCUUGAAACAGGACUUAGCCGUGUGCUUGAAACUAAA
rnacentral:misc_RNA from 1 species